rnacentral:rRNA from 1 species
CUGAACAGGUAUGUGGUGAAAGCCCGAAGCUAAACUUCGGUAAGCCAUGGAAACCGGACAGCUAGAGUGCGUCAGAGGAACGUGGAAUUCCAUGUGUAGCGGUGAAAUGCGUAGAUAUAUGGAGGAACACCAGUGGCGAAGGCGACGAUCUGGGAAGAAACAGACGCUGAGUCCCGAAAGCGUGGGGAGCAAAUAGG